AAGUCGUAACAAGGUUUCCGUAGGUGAACCUGCGGAAGGAUCAUUACCUUUCAAUGCAGAAGAGUUGAGAUGGUUGAGUAUCUCGCCUCUCAAUUCUCGCUGUAUUUUACCCUUGUUUUUCUCAUACUAUAUUAUUUCCUCGGCAGGCUCGCCUGCCGGGUGAAACAACUUCAAACCUGUUUAAUUUUCAAUCAGCGUCUGAACAAAUUAAUAAUUACAACUUUCAACAACGGAUCUCUUGGUUCUG
rnacentral:misc_RNA from 1 species